GAUGAAGAACGUAGCGAAAUGCGAUAAGUAAUGUGAAUUGCAGAAUUCAGUGAAUCAUCGAAUCUUUGAACGCACCUUGCGCCCUUUGGCCAUUCCGAAGGGCAUGCCUGUUUGAGUAUCAUGAACACCUCAACUCUCAUGGCUCGCCAUGAUGAGCUUGGAUUUGGGGGUCUUGCUGGCCUGUGGUCGGCUCCUCUCAAAUGGAUCAGCUUGCCAGUGUUUGGUGGCAUCACAGGUGUGAUAACUAUCUGCGCUUGUGGUUUUCCAUCAGAUAACCUUCAGUGAUGGAGGUUCGCUGGAGCUCAUAAACGUCUCACCUAAGCGGGGACAGCCCUUUGAAUGUUUGAUCUCAAAUCAGGUAGGACUACCCGCUGAACUUAAGCAUAUCAAUAAGCGGAGGA
rnacentral:misc_RNA from 1 species